rnacentral:rRNA from 1 species
GACGAACGCUGGCGGCGUGCUUAACACAUGCAAGUCGAACGGAAAGGCCCUGCUUGCAGGGUGCUCGAGUGGCGAACGGGUGAGUAACACGUGGGUGAUCUGCCCCUUACUUUGGGAUAAGCCUGGGAAACUGGGUCUAAUACUGAUAGGACCAUGCUGUAGGUGGUGUGGUGGAAAGAUUAGUUUCGGUAAGGGAUGAGCUCGCGGCCUAUCAGCUUGUUGGUGGGGUAAUGGCCUACCAAGGCGUCGACGGGUAGCCGGCCUGAGAGGGUGGACGGCCACAUUGGGACUGAGAUACGGCCCAGACUCCUACGGGAGGCAGCAGUGGGGAAUAUUGCACAAUGGGCGCAAGCCUGAUGCAGCGACGCCGCGUGGGGGAUGACGGCCUUCGGGUUGUAAACUCCUUUCAGCCAUGACGAAGCCCUUGUGGUGACGGUAGUGGUAGAAGAAGCACCGGCUAACUACGUG